rnacentral:lncRNA from 1 species
CUUUCUUUCUUCCUUUCUUCUCUUUCCCUGAUGACAGCAGGGGCAGUUCUAUGCUCCCAAGCAAGAUAAGAACAAGAGAGAAUGGGCAAGGGGUCAUCGAUGGACCGGAGAUGGGAUGGUAGGGACAGAAACUGCAGGGUCCGCAGAAGGAACUGCUCACCGAAAGCCAACAAGCUUGCCCUGUGGAAUCCCAGAAAGGCCCAGGAACUUCGGGACAUCACUGAAGGCAGAGUGAAGAGAGGAAGAGAAGACAGAGAAAUGGAGGGGAGAAAACUAUUAAAAUAAGUAAUAAGAAAACUUUCCCCAGAAGUGCAGAAUCUGAAUUUCCAGUAUAAAAGGGUCCAUUGAGCGCCAAGAACAAUGAAGGAAAAAAGGUCCCACUCAGGCCUACGUAUCAUUGUGAAAUUUCAGAACUAGAGGGAUAAAGAAAAGAUCCUAAAAGCUUCCCGAGAGAUAAAAAAGAAGAUUUUUACAAAGGAUCAGCAAUCAGAAUUGCCUCAGACUGCUCAAUAAAAACAUCAGAAGCUAGAAGAAAAUAGAAUGAGGCAUCAAAAUCCUGAGGGAAAUGAUUCCCACCUAUAAUUUCAUAUUCUGCUCAAUUAUCAAUUGAGUAUUGAAGGGAAAUAAAGACAUUUUUAGACAUG